rnacentral:rRNA from 1 species
ACACGAGUGGCGGACGGGUGCGGAACGCGUACGAAACUUACCCUUUACUGGAGGAUAGCCCUGGGAAACUGGGAUUAAUACUCCAUAAUAUAUUAGAAAGGCAUCUUUUUAAUAUUAAAACUCCGGUGGUAAAGGAUAGUCGUGCGUCCCAUUAGCUUGUUGGUGAGGUAAAAGCUCACCAAGGCUACGAUGGGUAGCUGGCGUGAGAGCGUGGCCAGCCACACGGGAACUGAGACACGGUCCCG